GCUCCUACCGAUUGAAUGGUUUAGUGAGGACUCCUGAUUGGCGCCGCCGCCCCGGCAACGGAGCAGCGGACUGCCGAAAAGUUGUUCAAACUUGAUCAUUUAGAGGAAGUAAAAGUCGUAACAAGGUCUCCGUAGGUGAACCUGCAGAAGGAUCACGAUCGGAAGAGCUUCGUGUAGGGAAAUAGUUUAGAUCUCUCUUGUCGCCUUAUCUUUAAAUACAUUUUUUUUUUUCUUUUUUCUUCCUUUCAUUUUUCUUUUCUCUUCUCCUUUCCUCUUC
rnacentral:misc_RNA from 1 species